rnacentral:rRNA from 1 species
GUGAUGGGGAGAAGACAUUGUGUCUUCGAGUCGUUGAUUUCACACUGCCGAGAAAAGCCUCUAGAUAGAAAAUAGGUGCCCGUACCGCAAACCGACACAGGUAGUCAAGAUGAGAAUUCUAAGGUGAGCGAGCGAACUCUCGUUAAGGAACUCGGCAAAAUGACCCCGUAACUUCGGGAGAAGGGGUGCUCUUUAGGGUUAACGCCCAGAAGAGCCGCAGUGAAUAGGCCCAAGCGACUGUUUAUCAAAAACACAGGUCUCUGCUAAACCGUAAGGUGAUGUAUAGGGGCUGACGCCUGCCCGGUGCUGGAAGGUUAAGAGGAGUGGUUAGCUUCUGCGAAGCUACGAAUCGAAGCCCCAGUAAACGGCGGCCGUAACUAUAACGGUCCUAAGGUAGCGAAAUUCCUUGUCGGGUAAGUUCCGACCCGCACGAAAGGCGUAACGAUUUGGGCACUGUCUCAACGAGAGACUCGGUGAAAUCAUAGUACCUGUGAAGAUGCAGGUUACCCGCGACAGGACGGAAAGACCCCGUGGAGCUUUACUGUAGCCUGAUAUUGAAAUUCGGCACAGCUUGUACAGGAUAGGUAGGAGCCUUUGAAACGUGAGCGCUAGCUUACGUGGAGGCGCUGGUGGGAUACUACCCUAGCUGUGUUGGCUUUCUAACCCGCACCACUUAUCGUGGUGGGAGACAGUGUCAGGCGGGCAGUUUGACUGGGGCGGUCGCCUCCUAAAAGGUAACGGAGGCGCUCAAAGGUUCCCUCAGAAUGGUUGGAAAUCAUUCAUAGAGUGUAAAGGCAUAAGGGAGCUUGACUGCGAGACCUACAAGUCGAGCAGGGUCGAAAGACGGACUUAGUGAUCCGGUGGUUCCGCAUGGAAGGGCCAUCGCUCAACGGAUAAAAGCUACCCCGGGGAUAACAGGCUUAUCUCCCCCAAGAGUUCACAUCGACGGGGAGGUUUGGCACCUCGAUGUCGGCUCAUCGCAUCCUGGGGCUGUAGUCGGUCCCAAGGGUUGGGCUGUUCGCCCAUUAAAGCGGUACGCGAGCUGGGUUCAGAACGUCGUGAGACAGUUCGGUCCCUAUCCGUCGUGGGCGUAGGAAAUUUGAGAGGAGCUGUCCUUAGUACGAGAGGACCGGGAUGGACAUACCUCUGGUGUACCAGUUGUCGUGCCAACGGCAUAGCUGGGUAGCUAUGUGUGGACGGGAUAAGUGCUGAAAGCAUCUAAGCAUGAAGCCCCCCUCAAGAUGAGAUUUCCCAACUUCGGUUAUAAGAUCCCUCAAAGAUGAUGAGGUUAAUAGGUUCGAGGUGGAAGCAUGGUGACAUGUGGAGCUGACGAAUACUAAUCGAUCGAAGACUUAAUCAA